rnacentral:rRNA from 1 species
UCGGGCCUACGGGAGGCAGCAGUGGGGAAUAUUGCACAAUGGGGGAAACCCUGAUGCAGCGACGCCGCGUGAGCGAUGAAGUAUUUCGGUAUGUAAAGCUCUAUCAGCAGGGAAGAAGAUGACGGUACCUGACUAAGAAGCCCCGGCUAACUACGUGCCAGCAGCCGCGGUAAUACGUAGGGGGCAAGCGUUAUCCGGAUUUACUGGGUGUAAAGGGAGCGUAGACGGAAAGGCAAGUCAGAAGUGAAAACCCAAGGCUCAACCAUGGGACUGCUUUUGAAACUGUCAAACUAGAGUACGGGAGG